rnacentral:rRNA from 1 species
GAUGAACGCUAGCGGCAGGCCUAAUACAUGCAAGUCGAACGGUGUAGCAAUACACAGUGGCGCACGGGUGCGUAACACGUAUGCAACCUACCUUACAUUGGGGGAUAGCCUUUCGAAAGGGAGAUUAAUACCUCAUAAGACAGCAACUAGGCAUCCAGUAGCUGUUAAAGAUUUAUCGAUGUAAGCUGGGCAUGCGUCCAAUUGGUGAGUUGGCGAGGUAAUGGCUCACCAAGACGAUGAUUGGUAAGGAAACUGAGAGGCCAAUCCCCCACACUGGCGAUGAGAAACGGGCCAGACUCCUACGGGAGGCAGCAGUGGGGAAUAUUGGGCAAUGGGCGCAAGCCUGACCCAGCCAUGCCGCGUGCAGGAAGAAGGCGUUAUGCGUUGUAAACUGCUUUUAUACAGGAAGAAACGACCCUUGCGAGGGGCAUUGACGGUACUGUAUGAAUAAGCACCGGCUAACUCCGUGCCAGCAGCCGCCGUAAUAC